AAAGGGUGCGUAGGCGGCCUAUUAAGUCAGUGUUGAAAUUUCGCAGCUUAACUGUGGGUACGGCAUUGAUACUGGUUGGCUUGAGUGCGCUCGAGGUACUUGGAAUUUAUGGUGUAGCGGUGAAAUGCAUAGAUACCAUAAGGAACGCCGAUAGCGAAGGCAUGGUACCAGGGCGCAACUGACGCUGAGGCACGAAAGUGUGGGGAUCAAACAGGAUUAGAUACCCCUGU
rnacentral:rRNA from 1 species